AUUUGAACUUGUAUAUGGCCGUGAGGUUAAGGGGCCAUUACAGUUGGCAAAGCAGAAAUGGGAGGGGUUUACACCUUCUCCAUGAACUAACAUUCUGGACUUUGUAAACAACCUACAAAACACCCUCCGAACCUCUUUAGCCCUUGCUA